rnacentral:rRNA from 1 species
CACGUAGGGUGCGAGCGUUGUCCGGAAUUAUUGGGCGUAAAGAGCUCGUAGGCGGUGUGUCGCGUCGGCCGUGAAAACCUGCAGCUUAACUGUGGGCUUGCGGUCGAUACGGGCAUCACUGGAGUUCGGCAGGGGAGACUGGAAUUCCUGGUGUAGCGGUGAAAUGCGCAGAUAUCGGGAGGAACACCGGUGGCGAAGGCGGUUCUCUGGGCCUGACCUGACGCUGAGGAGCGAAAGCAUGGGGAGCGAACAGG